UGUCUAUCCACUUGAUGGGUGGUCCUCCCUGUGGCCAGCAUCACAGUGGUAUUCCUCCUGUUGGUACCACGGUGACAACCUUCCAGUGGCCAGCUCCCCAGUUACAUCCACCCGGUGGCCAAUGCCCACACAUCUAUCCUGGAGUUGUUCUCUGCGGCUGUAGAAGCUCAAAGGGUCAGAGGAUAUCCACCUUCCUCCCAGCAGCCUUGACCAAGGGCAGGACCAGUGUAACACAAUAGAAGGUGUGAUGUCUUGUGAGAAGCAAGAGCUCACUUGGAGGAGGCAGCUGUGGGCCUGAAGGAAGAGGUGACAAGUUCUUGGGAAUAUUAAAGAUUAACACCAAA
rnacentral:lncRNA from 1 species